rnacentral:rRNA from 1 species
GUGUCAGCCGCCGCGGUAAUACAGAGGGUGCUAGCGUUGUUCGGAAUUAUUGGGCGUAAAGGGCGCGUAGGCGGCUCGGUAUGUCGGGUGUGAAAGCCCACCUCUUAAAGGUGGAAUUGCAUUCGAAACUACCGAGCUAGAGUAUCGGAGAGGAUGGUGGAAUUCCUGGUGUAGAGGUGAAAUUCGUAGAUAUCAGGAGGAACACCGGUGGCGAAGGCGGCCAUCUGGACGAAUACUGACGCUGAGGCGCGAAAGCGUGGGGAUCAAACAGGAUUAGAUACCCUGGUAGUCCACGCUGUAAACGAUGGGUGCUAGGUGUUGUGGGUAUUGACCCCCGCAGUGCCGUCGCUAACGCAUUAAGCACCCCGCCUGGGGAGUACGGCCGCAAGGCUAAA